GAUUUUGGGGCGGGGCACAGUGGUGGAAACUAGAAUCAGAGUCAUCUAUCGAGAGAAAACUGAGUUUUCGACGGCCAUUUUGGACGCUUUUCCUAUUGAUGUAAGAAGCUGUAAGAUGUAAAGAAGCUCUAGAAAUUCGGGAUUGGCGCCAAAAUGGUUGGCAAUUGUGCUGUUCCACAUUGUAAUUCAACAUACUGUAAAAGUGCGCAAAUAAAAAGUGGAAUGGCUCUGUUCUCCGUCCCAAAAACAGCCGUAGGAUUAUGGCAACAGCAAAUACCGUCAAUCAUUUUGACGAACAAUUCUCGUAUUUGGACGCGUCAUUUUGAUGAGAAUGACAUAAAAAGUGUUUCAUGCGUUUAAACGAUGGGUUUUGAAGGAAGGAGCCAUUCCGAGAUAUUUCCUGACACCCAAUGAAACUUCCCGACAACCAUUACAAAGCAUUUGCAAUGUGAAUAGGAGAAACAAUUCAAUAGCAAACCCUACUGUCGAUGAAAAGUGCAGGAAGCAUCCAAAUAAAGAAAGAUAUGCCUUUGCGAAGAAGAGCAGCCUAAACAAAAAGAUUUCUUAUGAUUUGGCCACCCCCAUGGAAGUCGUUCCAGAUGAGAACCUUUCAGUUGAAAAGCAGUUACCAGCUAUGGCUAAACAACCUGCAUCAGUAGUCGUAGAAACAAUACCGACACUACCAACAAUGGUGAAAUUGACGCCGAUGGAUGAUGUUCAGGAUCCGAAUACCUCAAAUGAGUCAGAAUUGAACAUUACAACUGAAGAAACCGUUAAUGAAAAUGCAGAAAUAAACUUUCACAACUAGCACACACCUCAAGUACUGCUCAAUCAUCUUCAACUACAGAUGAGAGUAUAUGGAACUUCAAACCAAGCUUGAUCACGUAUUUCACAUUGGUGUCCCAAAUGGAAUUACCUGACGGUCGGAUAUGGUCAUUCAACCAAGCCAAAAACG